AUGGGCGCAAGCCUGAUCCAGCAAUGCCGCGUGAGUGAUGAAGGCCUUAGGGUUGUAAAGCUCUUUCGGCGGGGACGAUGAUGACGGUACCCGCAGAAGAAGCCCCGGCUAACUUCGUGCCAGCAGCCGCGGUAAUACGAAGGGGGCGAGCGUUGUUCGGAUUUACUGGGCGUAAAGGGCGCGUAGGCGGCGGCCCAAGUCGAGUGUGAAAGCCCCGGGCUCAACCUGGGAGGUGCGCUCGAGACUGGUUUGCUGGAGUUCGGGAGAGGAGCGUGGAAUUCCCAGUGUAGAGGUGAAAUUCGUAGAUAUUGGGAAGAACACCGGUGGCGAAGGCGGCGCUCUGGACCGAGACUGACGCUGAGGCGCGAAAGCGUGGGGAGCAAACAGGAUUAGAUACCCUGGUAGUCCACGCUGUAAACGAUGUGUGCUAGACGUUGGGGAGCUCAGCUCUUCGGUGUCGCAGCUAACGCUUUAAGCACACCGCCUGGGGAGUACG
rnacentral:rRNA from 1 species